rnacentral:rRNA from 1 species
AUUGAACGCUGGCGGAAUGCUUUACACAUGCAAGUCGAACGGCAGCACGGACUUCGGUCUGGUGGCGAGUGGCGAACGGGUGAGUAAUAUAUCGGAACGUAUCCAAUAAUGGGGGAUAACUAGUCGAAAGAUUGGCUAAUACCGCAUACGCCCUACGGGGGAAAGCAGGGGAUCUUCGGACCUUGCGUUAAUGGAGCGGCCGAUAUCUGAUUAGCUAGUUGGUGGGGUAAAGGCCCACCAAGGCGACGAUCAGUAGCUGGUCUGAGAGGACGAGCAGCCACACGGGAACUGAGACACGGUCCAGACUCCUACGGGAGGCAGCAGUGGGGAAUUUUGGACAAUGAGCGCAAGCCUGAUCCAGCCAUUCCGCGUGAGUGAAGAAGGCCUUCGGGUUGUAAAGCUCUUUCGCAAGGGAAGAAAACUUAGCCACUAACAUUGGCUGAGGUUGACGGUACCUUGAUAAGAAGCACCGGCUAACUACGUGCCAGCAGCCGCAGUAACAC